UAGGGAAUCUUCCACAAUGGACGCAAGUCUGAUGGAGCAACGCCGCGUGAGUGAAGAAGGUUUUCGGAUCGUAAAGCUCUGUUGUUGGUGAAGAAGGAUAGAGGCAGUAACUGGUCUUUAUUUGACGGUAAUCAACCAGAAAGUCACGGCUAACUACGUGCCAGCAGCCGCGGUAAUACGUAGGUGGCAAGCGUUGUCCGGAUUUAUUGGGCGUAAAGCGAGCGCAGGCGGAAUGAUAAGUCUGAUGUGAAAGCCCACGGCUCAACCGUGGAACUGCAUCGGAAAAUGUCAUUCUUGAGUGCAGAAGAGGAGAGUGGAAUUCCAUGUGUAGCGGUGGAAUGCGUAGAUAUAUGGAAGAACACCAGUGGCGAAGGAGGCUCUCUGGUCUGCAACUGACGCUGAGGCUCGAAAGCAUGGGUAGCGAACAGG
rnacentral:rRNA from 1 species